AUUCCCCAACAUUUGAGACCAUCUCUGCAUCCACUUCUACUGUGGGCUCGUUUGGAAGUGGCAAUGCUUGCGGAGGGUUUCUUGAGAGUGAUGUGUUAUAAAGAUGACACAGACUCUGAACCAGUGCCGCCUGGCCGGUCCUCUGCCUCUUCUAGUCACUCUGAGGGACAUUGUAAAGAUGCACAAGCACAGGAAGGUCUUGCUAUGAAAGAGGAAGUGGAGCAGGUGGAUUUGGAGCUGAUUACUGUCCAGAACACGGCUGGUGCUAUAUCUAUCCCUAAACCCACAACCUUCCCCUCCAGCCCUGAGCGUCACCCCAGACCUCUACCUCAGGUACCCUUGCGUCCCUCUGGCUUCUACACCCAGUUUCUAUCCCCCUCGCCCCAAAGAAGAGAACAGCAGACGAACAAAAGAGAUUUCAGAGAGCAGGAUGCUUACAAACCAAGUGAAGAUGCCACUGCGCUCCUCUCAAUAGACCAAAUAGAACAGAGGUUGGAGCCAAUUGCCCACGACAAUGGUUACCUUGUGAUGGACAGCAGCAUCACCCUCCAGGGUGGUGAGCCUUUGACCAAUUCCAUGCUGAACGGAUACCUGGAGAGCAAGCUGAUGGAAGUAUACACUCAGUACCUUCAUGAGAGGCUCGUGCAGCCAGGCACAUCCCCUGGAUGGAGCCUCCUGACCCCACUUGUGCCUCCAGGAUAUGUAGUUCAGCGGCUCAGUCAGCAGGUGGCGCUGGAGCAGGGCCUGGAGGUAGAUGAGGCUUGUAGCAUGGUGCUCAGCUAUAUGCACACCCAUGGAGGGGACAGCAGGGCGGUCAGCUCACAUUUCAGCUCCCCAGUCCUACGGAUCUCAAAGCCUGAGUAGGAGAGAUCCAUACGAAACCCACAUAUGUGAUGCCAUGGUAACCUCAUUUCAAAUCACAGAGAAACUCCACAGUUAGAAUUGUCCCUGUCUGUCAUAAUUCAUAACUCAACUCUGUCAUCUGGCUUCUUCCUGCACCUUGUAUGCUAUCAGUUGUGUACAGUUUUAUGUCACAGAUGCUUUAAAAGAUCUUGAGUAUUUGGUGGACUUUGGCAUUACAAUGCAAGUUCCAGAUGUUGAAUGAAUUUGCCCAAUAUUGACUAUAAUUUCAGUGUUGGUGUGCAAUAAAGAUUGGUGUGAAACAAAUAUUAAUAUUUUU
rnacentral:lncRNA from 1 species